rnacentral:rRNA from 1 species
ACGGAAGGCAGCAGUGAGGAAUAUUGGUCAAUGGGCGGAAGCCUGAACCAGCCAAGUCGCGUGAGGGAAGACGGCCCUACGGGUUGUAAACCUCUUCUGCGCGGGGGUAAAGUCGGGGACGGGUCCCCGAUUGCAAGUACCGCGCGAAAAAGGAUCGGCUAACUCCGUGCCAGCAGCCGCGGUAAUACGGAGGAUCCGAGUGUUAUCCGGAUUUAUUGGGUUUAAAGGGUGCGCAGGCGGGCUGCUAAGUCUCCGGUGAAAUGUCAGGGCUCAACCUUGGCACUGCCGGAGAUACUGGCGGCCUUGAGAGUGGCGGAGGUAUCCGGAAUGUGUGGUGUAGCGGUGAAAUGCAUAGAUAUCACACAGAACACCGAUUGCGAAGGCAGGAUACCAUACCAUAUCUGACGCUCAGGCACGAAAGCGUGGGGAUCGAACAGGAUUAGAUACCCUGGUA